AAUCUACUCCCUCCGUCCCAAAAUUUUUGUCUUACUUUUGUCUAGAAAUGAAUGUAUCUAAAUACUAAAACUUGACUAGAUACAUUCGUAUCUAAACAAAUCUAAGACAAAAAUUUUGGAACGGAGGAAGUACUAU
rfam:Hordeum vulgare subsp. vulgare, WGS project CAJW01000000 data, contig: morex_contig_138424